rnacentral:rRNA from 1 species
UAGGGAAUCUUCCGCAAUGGACGAAAGUCUGACGGAGCAACGCCGCGUGAGUGAUGAAGGCUUUCGGGUCGUAAAACUCUGUUGUUAGGGAAGAACAAGUACGAGAGUAACUGCUCGUACCUUGACGGUACCUAACCAGAAAGCCACGGCUAACUACGUGCCAGCAGCCGCGGUAAUACGUAGGUGGCAAGCGUUAUCCGGAAUUAUUGGGCGUAAAGCGCGCGCAGGCGGUUUCUUAAGUCUGAUGUGAAAGCCCACGGCUCAACCGUGGAGGGUCAUUGGAAACUGGGGAACUUGAGUGCAGAAGAGAAAAGCGGAAUUCCACGUGUAGCGGUGAAAUGCGUAGAGAUGUGGAGGAACACCAGUGGCGAAGGCGGCUUUUUGGUCUGUAACUGAC